rnacentral:misc_RNA from 1 species
GAUGAAGAACGUAGCGAAAUGCGAUACUUGGUGUGAAUUGCAGAAUCCCGUGAACCAUCGAGUCUUUGAACGCAAGUUGCGCCUCAAGCCAUUAGGUUCAGGGCACGUCUGCCUGGGCGUCACAUAUCGUUGCCUGAUGCCAGUUUCCUCGUGAUGGGUGACUGUGCAGGGCGAAUGAUGGCUUCCCGUGAGCAUUGUUGCCUCAUGGUUGGUUGAAAAUUGAGUCCUUGGUAGGGAGCGCCGUGAUAGAUGGUGGUUGAGUGACGAACGAGACCCAAUCAUGUGAGACCCCUACCGAAUUUGGCCUUCAUGACCCACAUGCGUCUUUGGAACGCUCAUGACGAGACCUCAGGUCAGGCGGGGCUACCCGCUGAGUUUAAGCAUAUCAAUAAGCGGAGGA